rnacentral:rRNA from 1 species
UACGUAGGGUGCGAGCGUUGUCCGGAAUUACUGGGCGUAAAGAGCUCGUAGGUGGUUUGUCGCGUUGUUCGUGAAAACUCACAACUCAAUUGUGGGCGUGCGGGCGAUACGGGCAGACUGGAGUACUGCAGGGGAGACUGGAAUUCCUGGUGUAGCGGUGGAAUGCGCAGAUAUCAGGAGGAACACCGGUGGCGAAGGCGGGUCUCUGGGCCGUAACUGACACUGAGGGACGAAAGCUAGGGGAGCGAAUGGG